rnacentral:lncRNA from 1 species
GGUAAAUCGAGAUAAGGUUUUACAUCCCCUUACGCUUUGCGAGGGUUCCUGGCCCUGGCUGGCUUGUGCUGAAACGUGAUACUGGGAGCCGUUCUCGCUCAACCCGUUUAGCUUGUUACGGCGUCCCGUCCCGCCAGGGGAGCUGGCGGAGGGACCUGCAGCUUUCUCUCCCUUCAGCUCUUUCUUCUGGCAUUUCUUAGCUCAUCUAAAUGAAAGAUUCGUGCACGCGACAAACCCUGGCGCUACCUGGUCCCAGAAGCAGGCUGAGAUGGAGAAGCAGAAAGGAAGAAGCUGCUUUAAGGAGUAGUGGGAUGCCCUGCCCUCCCUCCCCSCUCAGCAAA